rnacentral:rRNA from 1 species
UUUAUGGAGAGUUUGAUCCUGGCUCAGGAUGAACGCUGGCGGCGUGCCUAAUACAUGCAAGUCGAGCGAACAGAUAAGGAGCUUGCUCCUUUGACGUUAGCGGCGGACGGGUGAGUAACACGUGGGUAACCUACCUAUAAGACUGGGAUAACUUCGGGAAACCGGAGCUAAUACCGGAUAACAUUUGGAACCGCAUGGUUCUAAAGUGAAAGAUGGUUUUGCUAUCACUUAUAGAUGGACCCGCGCCGUAUUAGCUAGUUGGUAAGGUAACGGCUUACCAAGGCGACGAUACGUAGCCGACCUGAGAGGGUGAUCGGCCACACUGGAACUGAGACACGGUCCAGACUCCUACGGGAGGCAGCAGUAGGGAAUCUUCCGCAAUGGGCGAAAGCCUGACGGAGCAACGCCGCGUGAGUGAUGAAGGGUUUCGGCUCGUAAAACUCUGUUAUUAGGGAAGAACAAA